AUACGUAGGGUGCGAGCGUUGUCCGGAAUUACUGGGCGUAAAGAGCUCGUAGGUGGUUUGUCGCGUCGUCUGUGAAAUUCCUGGGCUUAACUCCGGGCGUGCAGGCGAUACGGGCAUAACUUGAGUACUGUAGGGGAGACUGGAAUUCCUGGUGUAGCGGGGAAAUGCGCAGAUAUCAGGAGGAACACCGGUGGCGAAGGGGGGUCUCUGGGCAGUAACUGACGCUGAGGAGCGAAAGCAUGGGUAGCGAACAGGAUUAGAUACCCUGGUAGUCCAUGCCGUAAACGGUGGGCGCUAGGUGUAGGGGUCUUCCACGACUUCUGUGCCGUAGCUAACGCAUUAAGCGCCCCGCCUGGGGAGUACGGCCGCAAGGCUAAAACUCAAAGGAAUUGACGGGG
rnacentral:rRNA from 1 species